GAUUGGCGAUUAUCUGAUAAGUGACUUAAUUCGGUAUAAAGUCGCGAAGGUAACCUAUAAUUGACUAAUGAUAGCGCGACAUAUUUUGAGGUUUUGAAAAAUGAAUUUUAAACUCUAUGCCUUAAGGCGUAUUUUAAAGAAUAGAUGAUUAAAUCACAUUCUACCACUUAUCUUCAUAUGACAUUAACAGUUAAAAAUUAUCCAUGGUUUGUGCUUUUGAAAAAUAAAUUGUAAACAAGUAUACUUAAAGCGUAUUUUAAUGAAUAGUUGGUUAAAUGACAUAUUACCACUUAUCCACAUUUGACAUUGAUAGUUAAAAGUUAUCCAUGAUUUAAGAGUUUGCAAAAUAGAUUCUUAUUGUGUUUAAUUAAGACGUCUUUUAAUAAAUAGUUGGCUUAAUAAUAAGUUGUGUCUACAAUUCAUACAUAGCAAAUGGGGAAUCAUUGCUCGCUUAGAUUUGAAGGCACGUUUUAAGGUUUGAAAGACAGGCAAAUGUAGUGAAGCGUGUAAGGUGUUCAAAAUUAAGCGUGUAGAUCAUUUCCAACAUUUCACACGAUGAGUUACUUUUGGUACGGACUGUGCCUAUUGAGUGAAAUUAACGUAAGGCGGUCUUCACACUGGCGUUGCACCGCAUUCCAUUGCGAUGUGGAUGAUUUAGUAUACGGCAGAGUUCGCUAUAGUUUUCCUUCAAUAGUUUUUCGCCCGGCGCAAAGGGUCUCCCAUAUAAAAUUUAAACUUUGUGCCUUUUUCUACUGCCAAACUGGGUGUGUUUGAGUAUAGUUUCAAGUCACCAUAGAGAUUUAAAAAGACCGUAUCUGUGGUAAACGGUUACGUUUCUUGUCAAAUGACUAUAUUAUGUAAUUUUGAAUUCGUUUAUCUUGCUAAUUAUGUAAAAUGGGACAUUUAAAAACAAUAUCAAAAACGUGUAAGCCGGGCUUUUUCAUUUGAUACCGCCGACCACACUUUCUUGCAAACAAGUUGACUAGAAUAGCAAUAAGACCCCUCACAAAUAGCUUUUGGGUUUCUAGGCUCUUAUAUAGCUCCAGAACCCCUUGAUUGAGCCUGCUCAUAAUUUAAUU